rnacentral:rRNA from 1 species
AGUGAACGCUGGCGGUAGGCCUAACACAUGCAAGUCGAACGGCAGCACAGUAAGAGCUUGCUCUUACGGGUGGCGAGUGGCGGACGGGUGAGGAAUACAUCGGAAUCUACUUUUUCGUGGGGGAUAACGUAGGGAAACUUACGCUAAUACCGCAUACGACCUACGGGUGAAAGCAGGGGAUCUUCGGACCUUGCGCGAUUGAAUGAGCCGAUGUCGGAUUAGCUAGUUGGCGGGGUAAAGGCCCACCAAGGCGACGUUCCGUAGCUGGUCUGAGAGGAUGAUCAGCCACACUGGAACUGAGACACGGUCCAGACUCCUACGGGAGGCAGCAGUGGGGAAUAUUGGACAAUGGGCGCAAGCCUGAUCCAGCCAUACCGCGUGGGUGAAGAAGGCCUUCGGGUUGUAAAGCCCUUUUGUUGGGAAAGAAAAGCAGCAGGUUAAUACCCCGCUGUUCUGACGGUACCCAAAGAAUAAGCACCGGCUAACUUCAUG